GGAGAAUCUGGUGAGAAUCAGCUUAGUGUUUUUUUACAACGGGGAGAAGACGAUGAUACUUUCCAGCUUCAAAAGCUUCUUUAUUUAUUAUUAUUUGAGCUCCUUAUUCUACCCAAGCAAUGGUUUUGAGGUGAUCCAGCCACAGAAUAAGACUAAUAACCCAGAUACAGUUUUCAUCAGCUGUAACUUUACAGCAAACACUGGGACAAUUGUAGAUGUUCGACUCAACAAGGUUUUACCAGAGAAAAAGAUGCUCUGCCAGACUGAAUCUGAAGCCUGUCAUAACAUUAUCGUACUUAAAGACGCUCCAUUCAAGUACAUUUUCAUCUUACUCAAUGCUGGGCCAGAGGCAUGGACCUCAAAGUAUGAAUGUGAGUGGUCAGCAACAAAUAAGGAUGGGACGGACAAAACCGUGACAAGUGCAGCAAACAAAUUAAUUAAACUGCAACUACAAGGUCAACUGGGAACCACACCACAGUGUACUCCUCCCCCUUCACCUCCUCCCCCUCAGUCCCAUCAGCUCAUGUGGAUUUUGAUUGGUCUGCUGGCCCUGAUGUUUGUGUACAGCUGUAUCAUCACCUCCUUCUACAUGAGGCUUAUGAAGAGUUUUCCACUCGACGAUGCCGACCGGAGGAUUGUGACUUUGAUCCUUUGUCCCUCGAGCAUAAAGAUUUCUCCUGAUUCUUGGAAACUUUUACUGUUAUGUACUGUAGAAAGUUAUUCUAUUUUACAUUGAAGACCAUUGUUCUGGAAUUGUUUCACAAUUUGUAGACAGUUUUUUCAAAGUGAGUUAGCAGACAGUUAAUAAGAUACUGAAAGACAUCCAUAAAAACUGUCCUGCCUUUGUGCCGUGCCUGAACACCCAGUUUUAACAGCAGUAUUAUUAUUAAAUACAUUUAACAGAAUAAAGCUAUCAAAAGAAUGAGGC
ensembl:lncRNA